UACGUAGGGUGCAAGCGUUGUCCGGAAUUAUUGGGCGUAAAGAGCUCGUAGGCGGUUUGUCGCGUCUGCUGUGAAAACUCGGGGCUUAACUCCGGGCCUGCAGUGGGUACGGGCAGACUAGAGUGCGGUAGGGAGACUGGAAUUCCUGGUGUAGCGGUGAAAUGCGCAGAUAUCAGGAGGAACACCGGUGGCGAAGGCGGGUCUCUGGGCCGUAACUGACGCUGAGGAGCGAAAGCGUGGGGAGCGAACAGG
rnacentral:rRNA from 1 species